AUGAGCUAUGAUGAGCGGUACACACCUUAUGUUAGGGAGGCAGGACUUCUCCCUUUCAUUAAGUUGGUCCGCCGGUCGACGCCACCCAACAAUGCUGCAGCACUCACCGCGCUUAUUGAUCAUUGGAGGCCGGAGACACACACUUUCCAUCUUCGGACCGGGGAGAUGACCGUGACGCUGCAGGAUAUCGCUAUGAUCACCGGUCUUCCUAUCGAUGGCAAUCCUUUAUGUAUGAACACCGAUUCUGAAGGGUGGCGCACGCAGAUGCAUGCCCUUAUCGGUAUGGUUCCUCCGAAGCCUCGGGAGCCAGUAAGGGAAGAUAAGAAGAAGGAAAGAGUCGCAGAGGGCGCUACUUUCACGUGGAUAUCAUCGAACUUCGCUCAUUGCCCCGAUGAUGCUAAUGAGGACAUGGUGAAGACUUAUGCUCGUGUCUACAUGUGGUACGUGAUAUCGAGGACAAUGUUUGCUGAUGGCACAGGCAAGAAUGCUCCAUGGAUGUGGCUGAAGGCGUUGACCGUCUUCGAUAGCAAAUGGAGUUGGGGUUCGGCGACACUAGCUUACUUGUAUCGACAGUUGGACGAUGCCAGUUGUAGGCACACUGGAGGUAUUGGUGGUUGUCUGCUCGCACUUUCCAUAUGGAGAUGGGAGCGUUUGCAGGUUGGACGACCUAAGACCGUGAAGUACGAGGAUUGGGACGAUAAAGACGACCCACUACGGCUCCCCACUUGGGCUUACAAGUGGGAUGUGUUAAAUGAGACGACGGAUGAUCCCUCUAUAAUGUACAAGUUGUACAAGAGCGAGCUGGACGCGAUCACGCCUGAGCAGGUGGAAUGGGAGCCGUAUGGAAAAGGAGAGAGUUUUGGUAACCCUAUAGAGUUCAGGCUUAAUCCGAUGUGCAUUAGGGAUAGGGAUCUCUGGCAUAUGCGGUGCCCACUGAUAUGCAACUGGGCAGUUGAGCUUCACCUGCCACAUCGGGUGUUCCGCCAGUUUGGUUUGUUCCAGCCACACCCGCCGGAGUGGGAGGACACGGACAAGUUGCUACACGCGUUGGAUAGGAAAAAGCAGCGGAAGAUCAAGGAUUGGGCCAGCCAUCACAGGAAGUAUGUCGUGCAGUUCGCUCUUAGUGUGGAGCAAGCAAGGGCUGGAAAACGAGCCCAGCUUCGUGAGCACUGCCCGAUCGCGUUCAACAACUAUCUCGCAUGGUUUCUUGCAAGUACCCGUGUGGAGGUAUGCCAGCCGGCGUAUGCUGAGGAGAUUCUGGAAGAACCCACCGUUUUUGAUGAGGUAGCCCAGCACCAGUACAACGCAUUAGUCAGGAAAGGCAACUCGGUGAUCCCUUCAGCUCCAAUGAUGAACUUUGUGCGUGCCCAGAUCAAGAAAGCAGCUGAUGAGACCGAGACUAUUCUGGAAACAACCCCGGCUGGCAAAAGCGAUGGGGAAGCGCCAGGGCCAAAAGUUAAGGCGGCUAUCAAACCUUUUCGGUUGUCGUGA
rnacentral:rRNA from 1 species